rnacentral:tRNA from 1 species
UAUAGCUCAGUGGCACAGCAUCUGCCUGGAAAGCACAAGGCAUGAGUUCAAUUCUUGGUA